GAGUUUGAUCCUGGCUCAGAUUGAACGCUGGCGGCAGGCUUAACACAUGCAAGUCGAGCGGUAACAGGGGGUGCUUGCACCCCGCUGACGAGCGGCGGACGGGUGAGUAAUGCAUAGGAAACUGCCCAGUAGUGGGGGAUAGCCCGGGGAAACCCGGAUUAAUACCGCGUACGCCGUUCGGGGGAAAGCAGGGGAUCUUCGGACCUUGCGCUAUUGGAUGUGCCUAUGUCGGAUUAGCUAGUUGGUGGGGUAAAGGCCUACCAACGCGACGAUCCGUAGCUGGUCUGAGAGGAUGAUCAGCCACAUCGGGACUGAGACACGGCCCGAACUCCUACGGGAGGCAGCAGUGGGGAAUAUUGGACAAUGGGGGCAACCCUGAUCCAGCCAUGCCGCGUGUGUGAAGAAGGCUUUCGGGUUGUAAAGCACUAUCAGUGAGGAGGAAAAGUUGGUCGUUAAUACCGGCCAGCCUUGACGUUACUCACAGAAGAAGCACCGGCUAACUCCGUGCCAGCAGCCGCGGUAAUACGGAGGGUGCAAGCGUUAAUCGGAAUUACUGGGCGUAAAGCGCGCGUAGGUGGUUUGAUAAGCGAGAUGUGAAAGCCCCGGGCUUAACCUGGGAACGGCAUUUCGAACUGUCAGGCUAGAGUAUGGUAGAGGAGUGUGGAAUUUCCUGUGUAGCGGUGAAAUGCGUAGAUAUAGGAAGGAACACCAGUGGCGAAGGCGGCACUCUGGACCAAUACUGACACAGAGGUGCGAAAGCGUGGGGAGCAAACAGGAUUACAUACCCUGGUAGUCCACGCCGUAACGAUGUCUACUAGCCGUUGGGACUCUUGAAGUCUUAUGGCGCAGCUAACGCACUAAGUAGACCGCCUGGGGGAGUUACGGCCGCAAGGUUAAAACUCAAAUGAAUUGACGGGGGCCCUGCAUCAAGCCGGGUGGAGCAUGGUGGUUUAAUUCGAUCGCAACGCCGAAGAAUCCUUUACCUGGCCAUUGACAUGGACAGAGAACUUUUCCAGAGAUGGGAUUGGUGCCUUUCGGGAAACUUCCUGAACACAGGUGCUGCAAUGGCCGUCGUCAAGCCUCGUGUCCGUGAAUGUUGGGUUAAGGUCCCGUAACGCGAGGGGCUAAC
rnacentral:rRNA from 1 species